UGGUGGAGUGGUUUGUCUGGUUAAUUCCGUUAACGAACGAGACCCCUGCCUGCUAAAUAGUCCGGUGAGUGAAUUUCACAGAUUAGGACUUCUUAGAGGGACGUGCAUUCUAUUAGAUGCAGGAAGAUAGGGGCAAUAACA
rnacentral:rRNA from 1 species